AAUGCAGUGCCCGAACAGGGCGUUGUAAUUGGAAUGAGAACAAUUUAAAUCCCUUAUCGAUUAACAAUUAGAGGGCAAGUCUGGUGCCAGCAGCCGCGGUAAUUCCAGCUCUAAUAGCGUAUAUUAAAGUUGUUGCAGUUAAAAAGCUCGUAGUUGGAUUUCGGCGUGCGCUCAGGCUGGUCGGCCGUCAAGGUCUGUACCGUUUGGGUCACGCCCCACUGUAGGAUACUCACCGCUGUCCUUAACUGGGUGGCGGUCAAAGGGGGUGUGCAUGGGGGCAACUCUGUGCAUAUCUCUGGGGUUCCUACUCUUUUACUUUGAGCAAAUUAGAGUGUUCAAAGCAGGCAAUCGAGCCUUGAAUACUUCAGCAUGGGAUAAUGGAACAGGACUGGGGUCCUGAUUUCGUUGGUUUCUGGGAUCUCAGUAAUGAUUAAUAGGGAUAGUUGGGGGCAUUAGUAUUUAAUUGUCAGAGGUGAAAUUCUUGGAUUUAUGAAAGACUAACUUCUGCGAAAGCAUUUGCCAAGGAUGUUUUCAUUAAUCAAGAACGAAAGUUAGGGGAUCGAAGACGAUCAGAUACCGUCGUAGUCUUAACCAUAAACGAUGCCGACCAGCGAUUGGGAGACGUUACAUGGAUGACUCCCCCAGCAGCUUGCGAGAAAUCACAGGUCUUUGGGUUCCGGGGGGAGUAUGGUCGCAAGGCUGAAACUUAAAGGAAUUGACGGAAGGGCACCACCAGGAGUGGAGCCUGCGGCUUAAUUUGACCCAACACGGGGAAACUUACCAGGUCCAGACAUAGUAAGGAUUGACAGAUUUGAGAGCUCUUUCUUGAUUCUAUGGGUGGUGGUGCAUGGCCGUUCUUAGUUGGUGGAGUGAUUUGUCUGGUUAAUUCCGUUAACGAACGAGACCUUAACCUGCUAAAUAUGUCACUGGUAGACUUCUGCCAAAACAGGUGGGUGUCUAGGGGAAAGUUUCGAUGGACUCCGACGCAUUCAUCUGUGGAUGACUACCAGGAUGUACUUCUUAGAGGGACUAUCUGUAUCAAAGCAGAUGGAAGUUUGAGGCAAUAACAGGUCUGUGAUGCCCUUAGAUGUUCUGGGCUGCACGCACGCUACACUGACAAGUUCAACGAGUUUAACACCUUGCUCGAUAGGGCUGGGUAAUCUUUGAAAAACUUGUCGUGAUGGGGAUAGAUCAUUGUAAUUAUUGGUCUUCAACGAGGAAUUCCUAGUAAGCGUGAGUCAUCAGCUCGCGUUGAUUACGUCCCUGCCCUUUGUACACACCGCCCGUCGCUCCUACCGAUUGAAUGAUCCGGUGAAAUGUUGGAGCUGGGGUCUCUUGGCGGCGGGGCAACUCGUCGUCAGGGAUUCUGCAAACUUCAUUAAACCUUAUCAUUUAGA
rnacentral:rRNA from 1 species